rnacentral:rRNA from 1 species
AUUGAACGCUGGCGGCAUGCCUAACACAUGCAAGUCGAACGGCAGCACAGCAGUAGCAAUACUGUGGGUGGCGAGUGGCGGACGGGUGAGGAAUACGUCGGAAUCUGCCCAGUCGUGGGGAUAACUAGCCGAAAGGUUAGCUAAUACCGCAUACGACCGGGAGGUGAAAGCGGGGGACCGCAAGGCCUCGCGCGAUUGGAUGAGCCGACGUCGGAUUAGCUAGUUGGCGGGGUAAAGGCCCACCAAGGCGACGAUCCGUAGCUGGUCUGAGAGGAUGAUCAGCCACACUGGAACUGAGACACGGUCCAGACUCCUACGGGAGGCAGCAGUGGGGAAUAUUGGACAAUGGGCGCAAGCCUGAUCCAGCAAUGCCGCGUGUGUGAAGAAGGCCUUC